rnacentral:rRNA from 1 species
CCUACGGGUGGCUGCAGUCGAGAAUCAUUCACAAUGGGGGAAACCCUGAUGGUGCGACGCCGCGUGGGGGAAUGAAGGUCUUCGGAUUGUAAACCCCUGUCAUGUGGGAGCAAAUUAAAAAGAUAGUACCACAAGAGGAAGAGACGGCUAACUCUGUGCCAGCAGCCGCGGUAAUACAGAGGUCUCAAGCGUUGUUCGGAAUCACUGGGCGUAAAGCGUGCGUAUGCUGUUUCGUAAGUCGUGUGUGAAAGGCGCGGGCUCAACCCGCGGACGGCACAUGAUACUGCGAGACUAGAGUAAGGGAGGGGGAACCGGAAUUCUCGGUGUAGCAGUGAAAUGCGUAGAUAUCGAGAGGAACACUCGUGGCGAAGGCGGGUUCCUGGACAUUAACUGACGCUGAGGCACGAAGGCGAGGGGAGCGAAAGGGAUUAGAUACCCCUGUAGUC